UGUGGGAGCGGGCUUGCUCGCGAUACCGGCGACGCGGUGCAUCAGGCAUUGUGUGGUGAUGCUAUCGCGAGCAAGCCCGCUCCCACA
rnacentral:misc_RNA from 1 species